CCUACGGGAGGCAGCAGUGGGGAAUAUUGCACAAUGGGGGAAACCCUGAUGCAGCAACGCCGCGUGAGUGAAGAAGUAUUUCGGUAUGUAAAGCUCUAUCAGCAGGGAAGAAGAUGACGGUACCUGAGUAAGAAGCCCCGGCUAACUACGUGCCAGCAGCCGCGGUAAUACGUAGGGGGCAAGCGUUAUCCGGAAUUACUGGGUGUAAAGGGAGCGUAGACGGUGAUGCAAGUCUGGAGUGAAAGGCGGGGGCCCAACCCCCGGACUGCUCUGGAAACUGUGUAACUUGAGUGCAGGAGAGGUAC
rnacentral:rRNA from 1 species